rnacentral:rRNA from 1 species
AUGCAAGGAGAAGCUGCUGCGGUUUCAAGGGGCCGUGAGGAUGCCCACCAUGAAGGCGUGUCUGGGAUGAUGGAGCUACAAAAUUGCAAUCUCGCGAAAAUGUUCUUGAAUACAGUAAUUUUUUUGUCACAUAACCCAUAUGCUGAUGAUAAAGUUUGUUGUAUGAGCUUGUGGCAUACUGAUCCGACAGGUGGCAGAAAACCACUAGGUAUUACAAGGGCAUCUUUCACACGUUGUCUACAAUUUGUAGAGAAGAGAAUGGUAGAGGAUUGUAAAGGCCUUUGGUCCACCUUAUUGGGAGUUGGACCUGAUAUAUCAAUCAACGUUUAUGUAUAUGAAUCCCUGAGGUCUCAUUGGAAAAUGGAAAGUUGA